CAAGGCGACGACGGGUAGCCGGCCUGAGAGGGUGACCGGCCACACUGGGACUGAGACACGGCCCAGACUCCUACGGGAGGCAGCAGUGGGGAAUAUUGCACAAUGGGCGCWAGCCUGAUGCAGCGACGCCGCGUGAGGGAUGAAGGCCUUCGGGUUGUAAACCUCUUUCAGUAGGGAAGAAGCCGAUCUUUUGGGUUGGUGACGGUACCUGCAGAAGAAGCGCCGGCUAACUACGUGCCAGCAGCCGCGGUAAUACGUAGGGCGCAAGCGUUAUCCGGAAUUAUUGGGCGUAAAGAGCUCGUAGGCGGUUUGUCGCGUCUGCCGUGAAAGUCCGGGGCUUAACCCCGGAUCUGCGGUGGGUACGGGCAGACUAGAGUGCAGUAGGGGAGACUGGAAUUCCUGGUGUAGCGGUGAAAUGCGCAGAUAUCAGGASGAACACCGAUGGCGAAGGCAGGUCUCUGGGCUGUAACUGACGCUGAGGAGCGAAAGCAUGGGGAGCGAACAGGAUUAGAUACCCUGGUAGUCCAUGCCGUAAACGUUGGGCACUAGGUGUGGGGGACAUUCCACGUUUUCCGCGCCGUAGCUAACGCAUUAAGUGCCCCGCCUGGGGAGUACGG
rnacentral:rRNA from 1 species